UACGUAGGGGGCGAGCGUUGCCCGGAUUCAUUGGGCGUAAAGCGCGCGCAGGCGGCCCGCCCCGUCCCGUGUGAAAGCCCCCGGCUCAACCGGGGGCGGGUCAUGGGAGACCGGCGGGCUGGGGCCUGGGAGGGGGAAGCGGAAUUCCCGGUGUAGUGGUGGAAUGCGUAGAGAUCGGGAGGAACACCUGUGGCGAAGGCGGCUUCCUGGACCAGAGCCGACGCUGAGGCGCGAAAGCGUGGGGAGCGAUCCGGAUUAG
rnacentral:rRNA from 1 species